UUUCAGUAAAGAAAAUGCUGGCAGCAGAAAACUCUGACUCCUGUGUCUUUUUGGGUAAAGGGCAGCAGGAGGAUUUAACAGGUUCAGUUCCUGGCAACUCAAGGGAACUCAGAACUGUAACUCUGCGAGGGGAAUAAGGGUCUCCUAUCAGCUUUCAGCAUCCUUAACAAACUACAGUUUCCAGGAUUUCUUGCGGUUGUGAGUUCUGUCACAAUUAAACGCUCUAAAGAACAGCUAAUCUUCUCACAACAAGAACAUAAGAAGAACCUGCUGGAUCAGGCCAAAGACCCAUCCAGUCUGGCAUCCUGUUAUCACAGUGGCCAACCAGCCGCCCAUGGGAAACCCGCAAGCAGGACCUGAGUGCAAAGAGCAGUUCCCCCUCCUGUGGUUUCCUGCAACUGGUAUUUGGAAGCUUACUGCCUCCGCCUCUGGAGGCAGAGCAUAGUCCUAACAAGGCAUAGCAAUAAGGCAGCUCCCCACCCUAUCCAACCCCGGUCUAGUACUGGACAGAGGCUAUUGCCCAUCGAAUGCUCACAAAAUCCACCCCCCCCCCGUCUUCUGGAAAAGCUCUUUGAUCAUUCUGGUCCUUCAGAUGAUGGCAGGCCGUUAGUAUUGAGUUUCCGACUAAGCCUUGCUUUGCUUCACAAAGUCCCCUCCAAAAUCUAUCCGGCUGCAGAAGUGCAGAAGUCAAUAUAUCCCUCUUGAAGGAGAAAUCUAUUGCAACACAAAAGGAAAGAGCCAUAACAAAACCUCAACAGAUCUCCAUAUGGUGCCUUGCAAUUAAAAAAGAGGGCACAGGGUGGAUUAAUAAUUUUUUGAGAGAAAUGUGCAGGGGAAGGGAGGAGUGGGCUUUGGAUGAGAUAAUGAGUGAGGUGGAGACAGAAGUGGUGUUUGGCCAUACACAAAGUAGAACCCCUUCCCUUUGAGCCUUUCAUCUCUGGGUCACUGGUUUCAAUCUAACCCGGGUCGAUUGCAAACAAAAAUCAUUUUCCUCUGAUGGCUGCUUGCUGACCUAUGUGAAAUGAAAUGAUCAAGUCAGCCACUUUCUCAGCUAACAACUGUCAUAAGCAAGCCUACUGACUGUUAUAGAAUCAUUGCCAUGGAGGAGAGCACUGGGGUCAUGUAGCUCAAUCCCCCAAACCAAGACAGGACUCACUAUACAAAGUCAUAUCUAACAGGUUUUUGCCUAAUAAUUUUCUCAAAAAAAAAGGGGGGGGGAGUCUUCAAAAAACAUAUAUAGGCAGCUGCUGAAAGAGAGAAUUCGGCAUCAGUGGUGCCAUCAAUACCCAGCUCCAUUAUUAUUUUUAUCAUAUCCAAGAGCAGUGGUCGAUUCCCUACAUAGAUGCCUGGACGCUGUUAAGGACUGGAUGAGGAUAGACAAACUCAUGCUGAAUCCUCCUGCUGGUGACUGGCGGUCAGUAUGAAGCAUGAUGGAUUGGUUAGUCCUGGUGUAAAUACUAGAAGUGUGACUUUCUGCUUCUGUCUGAGCAAUAGAGCAGGACUUUCUCUUUGCUGCACUUGAGUCUCUGGACUUUACAGCUCAAGCCACUGACUUCAGACACUAAACUGGAGGAUGGCAGCAAGGUCAGGGAAGCUCUGUGUUAGUGGUGGCAGCCCUGCCUUAUCCCACCCCAUCCCUAUCCUGACAAGUGCAGCACCUCCACUAGAAGGGCAGCACUGCUCUGCCCACACACCACUGCCAACCUCCAGCUCUGGAUUUGGGCCUAGCCUUGACAGGAUACCAGUCUUGCACAUUUAAUGAACAGAAAGAUAAUGAACACCAGAUAUUUAACAACUGAAUAACAUAUGGCAUGGUUUUCUAAGCAACACAUGAAGAUAAGGAAAAGAUAUGAUUAUAAAUCUUGAAGGGAAGUGAAUAACCAAACACUGUGUAAACUCACCAUUGCUUAAAAUACGAAAGAAAUCUUGUGGUGGCAGUUUGCGUCAGGUUCCCUUCAGAGACAUUCCAAAACAACUUGCAGAAUCAAUAUCUGAAAUUAAACUCUAGUAUGAAUGAAAAUCCAUUCAUAACCCCAAAAAAAUUUGUUGCAUUUUACGACACCAUCAGAGCUAGAAGAAUAUUGAUUUGAACACACACAAAAAUUGACAAUUUCCAUAACAUUUAGUUUAAAUGAAGCUAUCUCACAGUGGGAGAAAAGGAAAUGUGCAUUGCUUGAUGCAGAUGCAAAAGAAAACAGAGUCCCUCCCUAUAGGCUCAAACAAAAGACAAGGAAAUAAAAUCAACACUCAGAGGAGGUUAUAAAAGAUGGAUGCCCUGGGGAAUGCAGUUUUAAUUAUGAAUUUUAUCAGUGUUUCCAAGAGCAGCUGAUACCUUCCCAUUAGUAUCUCUAAAUUAUUCUUCAGAGACAGGCUCCUUUCCUUGCAUCAGUUGACAUGUAGGACCAUCAAUGUUUCUCUGCCAGAUCAAAGCAGUAAGCCACAUAAUAAUAACGUUCUAGUUUUGACAGUGCCUGUACCAUGUACAUCUGAAAACAAUAAGGUCAUGGGGCAUUGUUAAAGACCCAUGACCCAGUCCAGUGAUCUCUUGUGGGUGGGUGGGUGUGCACAUUAUGCACACAUUAUAUCCCCCCUCCCCAUCUACAAGAAUGAAUUAUUUAACUUACAAAAAACAUGUGCUCUCUUGCAAAGUGCUUUACUUAUCUGAUCUACAAGCUCAACUCUUGGAGUUAAAGAAGGCUUUCAAUACCUGAGUGGUCUGACCAAAGCAUAGCUCUUUAUAAAAAGAACAAAGAUGAUCUUUGCUAAAUCUAAGCUGCUAAUGAUGACAAAAAGAAAAUGAAUUUAAAGUAGAUUGAGUGCUGGGGUGGGUGGAAGGUGCUGGACUUCAAAAGCAGUGGGGUCUGAAGGAAGUAUCCAUUUCCUUUUGUUUAUCCCCAGCAUCUAGUGACCAUAGGCACACUGACUGAAUGUUUAAUUCAUCGCUUUUGUGGCUAAUAGUCACUGACAGACCUGUUGUCUAUGAAUUUAGCUCCCUUCAUGUGUGACUCAGAUGAAGGGACAUCACAAAAAUACCAGGAGCAGGGCUGCUUUGCUUGCCCUACCUUCAGGCAGUGACGUUGGCAUAGACUGCCUGCAUGGGGAAAGUCUUUGCCUGAGCUACUGCACAUGGGUAGGCUUUCCCUAUGCAAACAGUUCACCCCAAUGCAUGGAUGAUGUCUGUGGGUGGGGCCAGCAGUCAGCAGCAUGCCCAGGGCAAAACUAGCAGUGCAGUCCCACGCCUGGCAAUCACAUGAUGCUGUGGGAGGGGCCAUAGCCAGUGGAGGCUGGUGGUUCCGAUGUCAGUGGGGUGGGGAACCUGUCCAGGUUUUAGUCCAAACUUUCAAAGCAUCUUCAACAGAAGAAAGAAGGGGAGUGGUUUAGCCACUGAGAAAAGUCUUCUAACCUGCUUCCUUGUUCUUUCUUGCUGAUUGGAGCCAAUCAGAAUGAAAGGAGAUGAGUCAGCCACUAAGAAGACUCUUCUCAAUAGCUAACACUCUCCCCUUUCAUGCUGACUGGCUCUUAGGGAUGUCUGUUGUUGUGGGAGAUGGUGUUAACAAGGAUCUCAUUCUCAACCCAGCAGCAAAAAAGGGGGGAGAGGCGUUGCUGUGAUUAUCAUGAAGGGACCCUGCACUUCUGAAUUUGCCACUACAGUACUGCAGUACUGGGCCAGGAAACAAAGUGGUAGCCAAUUCAGCUGAUAGGGAAUUGGUCUGUCUUGCAGGCUCCAUACAAUCUGGUCUGGACCAGUUGGAGUUUCUGAGCUGUUUUCAUGGGCAGCCCCAUGGAAAGCACAUUGUAGUCAUCCAACCCUGAGGUUAGCAGGACAUGAAUGACCAAGGCCAGAUCUGAUUUUUCCAGGAGGGAUGCAGCUGGCGUAAAAAAACACUCGUGACUUUUACUGUAAUAUACUGAAUUUGCUAGUCUGAGAGCAGGUGAUCAUGGGAAAAUCAGUUUCCCAGCAUCUCUUAUUAUAGUGGAACAAAUAUCUUUACAGAGAAGAAAGAUGUGACCCACAAAUGCUGCUGUGUUCCUGUGAUUACCUUACUAAAUUUGUUAUUUGACUUUAGAGUCUGAAAGGAUUACAUCCUAUAUUUUAAAAACAUGCAAAAUGACUCAGAUUCCAGCAGGUAACAUGCUCUGAGGAAACUACAGCUCAAAUGAAAAAGGCACACAAGUUUAUCCUGGAGGCAUGAGGGGGACAGGCAGACAGCAGGAAACUGGAGUGUGCUGAUACAUUAGUGGAGAAGUCUGCUUGCGAGUGUGCAUUGCCCAGGUGGUAGGGUGUGUAUGUUGUGCCUGGAACGAUACACAUUUACAAUUAGUUGGAUUUCACUGUAGUGGAGAUGUAAGCUGACAGGCCGCCACACAAAACCAUCCUGCUGAGCUCCAGAGUGAAAAAAGACUUUUAAAUGGAAACCUUUGAAGCUUUAAAAUAGGGAAACGCUGGAUUUAGGCACACCUUACCUUUGAAGACCAAGGCUUAGAUUGAGGAUACAUUUGUUUAUUUGUUUGUUUUUCUUUCACUGAACUUGAUUGUCUCAUUAAUGCCAGUGAAAGAUUUAGAAUUAAACACUUACAGAAAAUAAAUAAAUUCUGAG